UGGGGAAUAUUGCACAAUGGGCGCAAGCCUGAUGCAGCAACGCCGCGUGAGGGAUGACGGCCUUCGGGUUGUAAACCUCUUUUGGUAGGGAAGAAGCCUUCGGGUGACGGUACCUGCAGAAAAAGCGCCGGCUAACUACGUGCCAGCAGCCGCGGUAAUACGUAGGGCGCAAGCGUUAUCCGGAAUUAUUGGGCGUAAAGAGCUCGUAGGCGGUCUGUCGCGUCUGCUGUGAAAUUCCGAGGCUCAACCUCGGGCUUGCAGUGGGUACGGGCAGACUAGAGUGCGGUAGGGGAGAUUGGAAUUCCUGGUGUAGCGGUGGAAUGCGCAGAUAUCAGGAGGAACACCGAUGGCGAAGGCAGAUCUCUGGGCCGUUACUGACGCUGAGGAGCGAAAGGGUGGGGAGCAAACAGG
rnacentral:rRNA from 1 species